rnacentral:lncRNA from 1 species
AAAUAAAUUUUAUUUAAAAAGUUACACCAAAAGAGCCUCAACUAAGUAAAUAAAUAAUUAAUCAAUUAGUAAUAGGUAACCUUUAAAUUAAAUUGAUGAAUUCAAAUUCAAUAGAGAUACUUAUGAAUAAUUCUUAAAUGAAAUUAUAAUUACAAAAAGUUAACAUAAUAAUUCUUAAAUAAAAUUAUAAUUAUAAAAAUUAACAUCUUAGAUUCAGUCCAUUUUUUAGAUCAAAUUCAAAUUAAUUCAAAAUUUUCUGAUUUGUUCGAUGCUCGGAAAAAUUGAAUUGACAUCGAUUUCGACCGCCCUCCGCCAUCGCUAUGGUUAACUAUCCGACGAAGUAAAAACCAAAAUUAUGGGCCCGAAUAAUUGUGAUGGCAGGCCCAGGUAAAGUGAGCUGGAGCUUUGUCGUCUUAAAUGAUGUGGGUCCCGCCCCUCAUGAUCAUGAUUUGGACGUCACUUCAACCAAUUCGAUCCAGUGCACUGGAGGCAUUCCGCUAAAUCUGAAAUUAUCUAUUUCUUCUCUCUGAAAUUAUUUAUGUCUUCUCAAUGCUUUUGUUUUUUUGGUCCGAUGCGUUCGAAUCGCUCUCAAGUAAUUUUUUUUUUUAUAAUUAUACGGUUAAAAUUAUUAUAAAUUUAUUAUUAUUAUUUAUUAUUUUAUAUGUGUGAUUAUGAUUUAUGUUCUAACUCAGAGCAAGAGCAACUCUAAGAAAGACGUAGCCUGUUUAUCUUUUUAUUAGUUAUCUCUUUACCAUGCUUGUUAGCUGCAUUUUGUCCGGUGCCAGACUGCCAGUAAAUAUAUUGUUCAUCUUGCACUUCUUGUUGUGUGCGAAAACAUUGCGAAAUUAUUUUUUGGGCUUAACAAACAUGGAAGCAGAUAGACCCCCCCCGUGGAGCUAUUAGCAUGUAUAAAAGUCCUUUUAAACCCCAUUUUCUCAAUACACCCCAUUUAAAUAUUUAAAAGUUUCAUAAUUUCUGUUAACAACCCAUUUAAUUUUAAAAAUAACCUUGAUUUACCUAUUAAUUUCCAAGUGCCUCCAACGAGGUGUUGUUCUCAAUCCUUCUGGUUUGUCAAACUCCUUCAUCAACUAAUUUUAUUGUGAUUCAUUUUAUUUUAUUUUUUAACCUUGUUAAACCUAGAUGAGUAUAUGCAAACCA